GACGAACGCUGGCGGCGUGCCUAAUACAUGCAAGUCGAACGCAGUGGGGACGGGUGAGUAACACGUGGGUAACCUCCCAUCAGAGGGGAUAACACUUGGAAACAGGUGCUAAACCGAUACUGAUGGAUGGACCCGCGGUGCAUUUGCUAGUUGGUGAGGUACAGGCUCACCAAGGCCACGAUGCAUAGCCGGCCUGAGAGGAUGAACGGCCCCACUGGGAAUGAGACACGGCCCAGACUCCUACGGGAGGCAGCAGUAGGGAAUCUUCGGCAAUGGACGAAAGUCUGACCGAGCAACGCAGCGUGAGUGAAGAAGGUUUUCGGAUCGUAAAGCACUGUUGUUGGAGAAGCGGUAUCUAACCAGAAAGCCACGGCUAACUACGUGCCAGCCGCCGCGGUAAUUC
rnacentral:rRNA from 1 species